rnacentral:snoRNA from 1 species
AUGGAUGAGCCUUUCCCCAAAUGAUUGACUCUAAUUAUAUUGAGCUUUUGGCUAUUCUCUUUUCUUCAAAGAUCUGAAGUCAAGAACCUGAUCCAA